GGCGGACGGGUGAGUAACGCGUGGGCAACCUGCCCUGUACAGGGGGAUAACACCGGGAAACCGGUGCUAAAACCGCAUAAAGCCGGUAAUGCGCAUGCAUAAUCGGUGAAAACUGAGGUGGUACAGGAUGGGCCCGCGUCCCAUUAGCUAGUUGGUGAGAUAACAGCCCACCAAGGCGACGAUGGGUAGCCGACCUGAGAGGGUGACCGGCCACACUGGGACUGAGACACGGCCCAGACUCCUACGGGAGGCAGCAGUGGGGAAUAUUGCGCAAUGGACGGAAGUCUGACGCAGCGACGCCGCGUGAGCGACGAAGGCCUUCGGGUCGUAAAGCUCUGUUCUUGGGGACGAAAAAGAUGACGGUACCCAAGGAGCAAGCCCCGGCUAACUACGUGCCAGCAGCCGCGGUAAUACGUAGGGGGCGAGCGUUGUCCGGAAUUACUGGGCGUAAAGGGCGUGUAGGCGGCUGAGUAAGUCAG
rnacentral:rRNA from 1 species